rfam:Cavia porcellus supercont2_90 genomic scaffold, whole genome shotgun sequence.
GGACGUGAGGGCGAUGUGGCUGUGACAGGGUCAAUCCGGAAGAUCCGGCUGACUCUGCAGGUGUCCCCGCCCUCCCUCACCAUGCAUGUGCGUCCCUCCUGGGUAGAAGGUGACCACGCCCCAUCGAGGAGGACCAUUCUACCGUCAGGAGUCAGGAGUGUACGAGCUGCUGUGCUCCCUGCUAGAGCCUCCGAACAAGCUCUCAAAAAAUAUGCAUUGAAGGGCCAGGGAUAUAGCUCAGCAGCAUAGCACCUGCCUGGCAAACACGAGGCCCUG